rnacentral:rRNA from 1 species
AUUGAACGCUGGCGGCAUGCCUUACACAUGCAGGUCGAACGGUAAUAGGUCUUCGGAUGCUGACGAGUGGCGAACGGGUGAGUAAUACAUCGGAACGUGCCUAGUAGUGGGGGAUAACUACUCGAAAGAGUGGCUAAUACCGCAUGAGAUCUACGGAUGAAAGCAGGGGAUCGCAAGACCUUGUGCUACUAGAGCGGCCGAUGGCAGAUUAGGUAGUUGGUGGGAUAAAAGCUUACCAAGCCGACGAUCUGUAGCUGGUCUGAGAGGACGAUCAGCCACACUGGGACUGAGACACGGCCCAGACUCCUACGGGAGGCAGCAGUGGGGAAUUUUGGACAAUGGGCGAAAGCCUGAUCCAGCAAUGCCGCGUGCAGGAUGAAGGCCUUCGGGUUGUAAACUGCUUUUGUACGGAACGAAAAGCCCCGGGUUAAUACCCUGGGGUCAUGACGGUACCGUAAGAAUAAGCACCGGCUAACUACGUGCAGCCGCCGCCGUAA